rfam:Haemonchus contortus, ISE/inbred ISE, WGS project CAVP01000000 data, contig: Hcontortus_46285
AGGUGUGGUCCGGCGCUGUUGGGUUAUCGUUACGUAGAACUCUGUCCUCACACUUCUUCUGCCCCUCAAUUCCCAUCAGCAUCAACUUGACCACAAC